rnacentral:rRNA from 1 species
CCUACGGGGGGCUGCAGUGGGGAAUAUUGCACAAUGGGCGCAAGCCUGAUGCAGCCAUGCCGCGUGUGUGAAGAAGGCCUUCGGGUUGUAAAGCACUUUCAGCGGGGAGGAAGGCGUUAAGGUUAAUAACCUUGUCGAUUGACGUUACCCGCAGAAGAAGCACCGGCUAACUCCGUGCCAGCAGCCGCGGUAAUACGGAGGGUGCAAGCGUUAAUCGGAAUUACUGGGCGUAAAGCGCACGCAGGCGGUCUGUCAAGUCGGAUGUGAAAUCCCCGGGCUCAACCUGGGAACUGCAUUCGAAACUGGCAGGCUAGAGUCUUGUAGAGGGGGGUAGAAUUCCAGGUGUAGCGGUGAAAUGCGUAGAGAUCUGGAGGAAUACCGGUGGCGAAGGCGGCCCCCUGGACAAAGACUGACGCUCAGGUGCGAAAGCGUGGAGAGCAAACAGGAUUAGAUACCCGAGUAGUC